UACGGAGGGGGCUAGCGUUGUUCGGAAUUACUGGGCGUAAAGCGCACGUAGGCGGACUGUUAAGUCGGGGGUGAAAUCCUGGGGCUCAACCUCAGAAUUGCCUCCGAUACUGGCAGUCUCGAGUGCGGGAGAGGUGAGUGGAAUUCCCAGUGUAGAGGUGAAAUUCGUAGAUAUUGGGAAGAACACCAGUGGCGAAGGCGGCUCACUGGCCCGUAACUGACGCUGAGGUGCGAAAGCGUGGGUAGCGAACGGG
rnacentral:rRNA from 1 species